CCUACGGGAGGCAGCAGUGGGGAAUAUUGCACAAUGGGCGAAAGCCUGAUGCAGCAACGCCGCGUGAGCGAUGAAGGCCUUCGGGUCGUAAAGCUCUGUCCUCAAGGAAGAUAAUGACGGUACUUGAGGAGGAAGCCCCGGCUAACUACGUGCCAGCAGCCGCGGUACUACGUAGGGGGCUAGCGUUAUCCGGAAGUAAUGGGCGUAAAGGGGGCGGAGGUGGUUUCUUAAGUCAGGGGUGAAAGGCUACGGCUCACCCGGAGUAAGCCUUUGAAACUGGGGAACUUGAGUGCAGGAGAGGAGAGUGGAAUUCCAAGUGUAGCGGUGAAAUGCGUAGAGAUUAGGAGGAACACCAGUUGCGAAGGCGGCUCUCUGGACUGUAACUGACACUGAGGCACGAAAGCGUGGGGAGCAAACAGGAUUAGAUACCCGAGUAGUC
rnacentral:rRNA from 1 species